UACGGAGGGUGCGAGCGUGUCCGGAAUUAUUGGGCGUAAAGAGCUCGUAGGUGGCCUGUCGCGUCGGCUGUGAAAACUCGGGGCUCAACUCCGAGCUUGCAGUCGAUACGGGCAGGCUAGAGUUCGGCAGGGGAGACUGGAAUUCCUGGUGUAGCGGUGGAAUGCGCAGAUAUCAGGAGGAACACCAAUGGCGAAGGCAGAUCUCUGGGCCGUAACUGACGCUGAGGAGCGAAAGCAUGGGGAGCGAACAGG
rnacentral:rRNA from 1 species